rnacentral:SRP_RNA from 1 species
GCUGUGUGCGGUGGCAUGUGCCUGUAGUCCCAGCUACUCAGGAGGCUGUGGCUGGAGGAUGCUUGAGCCCAGGAGUUCUGGGCUGUAGGGCACUGUGCCGAUUGGGUGCCCGCACUAAGUUCGGCAUCAAUAUGGUGACGUCCCGGGAGCGAGGGACCACCAGGUUGCCUAAGGAGGGGUGAACCGGCCCAGGUCGGAAACAGAGCAGGUCAAAACUCCCGUGCUGAUCAGUAGUGAGAUCGCGCCUGUGAAUAGCCACUGCCCUCCAGCCUGGGCAACAUAGCGAGACCCCAUCUCU